AUCCCUUCUUGAGCUUUUGGCUAAGAUCAAGUAUAGUAUCUGUUCUUAUCAAUUUAUAAUGUACUACCUGAUAUCUCCUCUAUGUGAACAAUAUAGUUAAUGGAUUUUUGAAGCAGGGAAAUGGAAUAGGAGUUUGCUCCAUCCACUUCAUGCAUCUACCAGGUAGAUGUAGUACUU
rnacentral:snRNA from 1 species